rnacentral:lncRNA from 11 species
AGAGAAUACUACUAAACUCACAGCAACCCAGUGAUUCUGGCCAUGAAAGCCUUUGACAAAAUGUUCUUGUUUAUUUAUAGAAAGCUUGCUUGACCUGGAUGUUUCAUUUCACACAUUCAUAAUAGUCAUUUUUAAUAAAAUGUUUCUGUUAAAGAAAUUAAGCCUAAGGAUCCAAAACACACAAGAGGAUCCGAAACCAGGUUUUCUCAUUUUUUGUGCAAAAUAAUUUUCUCAAACAGAGAACCCCACAACUGAUUUCUUUAGCACAGUGUCUUCAUUAAGGACAAGAACGUUGAUGAAUAUUCUUCACAUCUCUAAUCUGAAACUUAUCUGUUAGCUACGAAAGUAGACAUUUUCAAGGCAAUACCAGAAGCACUACUACGGAAAAACAAAAUGAGAGAAAAAUGCCAUGUUAUCCUUGGGUGGAAUGAUUUAUAGCAUCUCGGUAAGCCAAAGUUUUGGGCACCUGCUGCCAUGCAAACAAGUUGUCAUUCCUGUUAGAUGUGUUUUGUAGCUGCUGAAAUGAUGUGUAAGCUACACCAACUGCCUCUACAUUCUGCUUCUUUCCUGUGGGUCAGAAAGAGGCCUAUGUACCAAUCUGAACAGAGUCUGCUUGUUCCCCAGCAAUGGCAUAGUGGAAAUAAGUGGACUGGGUGCUUCUGUUGUGCCCCAGAAACAUACCCAAUCCAUCCAUGGAGCAUGAAUAACUUGAUUCUCACCAGCUGGAGAGGAAGGAAGAAGAAAGCCACCUUUACACCUAUGUUGAACUUUAGCAUGGAAACUGCUUUUCCACAUGAAAUAGUAAAGCUGAAAUGA